rnacentral:rRNA from 1 species
AUUGCACGCUGGCGGCAGGCCUAACACAUGCAAGUCGAACGAGUGGCGGACGGGUGAGUAAUGUCUGGGAAAAUGCCUGAUGGAGGGGGAUAACUACUGGAAACGGUAGCUAAUACCGCAUACCAUCGGAUGUGCCCAGUUGGGAUUAGCUAGUAGUUGGGGUAAAGGCUCACCUAGGCGACGAUCCCUAGCUGGUCUGAGAGGAUGACCAGCCACACUUGAACGGAGACGCGGGCCAGACUCCUACGGAGGGCAGCAGGGGGGAAGAUGGCACAAUGGGCGCAAGCCUGAUGCAGCCAUGCCGCUUGUAUGAAGAAGGCCUUCGGGUGGUAAAGUACUUUCAGCGUGGAGGCGUUACCCGCAGAAGAAGCACCGGCUAACUCCGUGCCAGCAGCCGCGGUAAUUC